rnacentral:misc_RNA from 1 species
CACACCUUCACGCAGGCACCUAUACACGCCCAUAGACAGGGGAUGGGCAGAGAGAGCGGGUGGCAGAGACCAGGCUCCGCAUCCCCCCCCCCGCAUCUCUCUCGCUCUCACCCCGGCGGCGUCCUCAGCGGCGACCGUCGCAGCCGACGCAGCAAGUCGGCAUACACGCGGACAGAGCAGACGGAAAGGAACGCUUCGUUGUAUUCACGCGCAGCUCCUUCUGCUAGCUGGCCGACAACUGGCGCGACUCGUGUGCCAUGAGCGUGCCGAUCUCGUCGUCGCAGUCGGCAGGCGCCGCUGCUGCUGCUGCUGCUGCUGCCCCCAACGGCAGCGUCAGUGGCGUCCUCAGUCUCGCCUCCCCGACAGUGCAAAAUCAGCGGCAGCAGCAGCCAGCCCUUGUCGCGUCACCGACGGACGUGUUAGCGGCCGGCAGGCAUCCCGCCAGAGGUCCGGACGCCUUCGCACAAGCGCCAGCAAGCGGGUUCUCCUCUACCGCCAUGGAUACUCUCCUGGAAGACCUGCUGCUCGCCAAGGAGCGCACGGCCUACCACCGAGCCGUCGUGACAGAGAUAACGACGACCGCACGGGACGGCUCCGCAACGUACCAUGGCGAGGCCGUCACCUCGCUCCUCCACCUGUCCGUCGCGCCGCGACCGUCAACGCUGCUGCAGCCAGACGCCGUCGAUGCAAGUGCGGCUGUCGGCACCAAUGAGGCUGCACAUACCGCCGCGGCGGACGGCGAUGGUGGUCGAACGGAGCACAUGAAAGGGAAGGAAACGCAGCGCAGCAGCAGCGCCCCGUGCGUGCGGUCGCGGCGUGAGCAGGCGCUCGCUGACAGCAUCAGUAUGAGCAGCCGGCGCAGUAGCGACGGCGAGGAAGGCAACGCUCCGGCCCUGUCCGCCACGGUCUUCGUGCAGCCGCCAUCGGGCACUGAUGAUGCGGAAAGCGUUAGAGAUCGUGUCACUCGUACUCGCCAGCGCCGUCGGCGCGGCGGCAAGGGCAACGCAGCGGGCGUCGUCCCGGCCACAGCACGAGCGAUCGGUGCCGCCGGUGGUGUAGGUGUAGCCGACGGCGCCGCCGCCGCCGCCUCGGCGAGUCUCACUCGCAUCCUGUCACCACAAGCCGCUGCGAUGGAUGCGGACAUCCACAGGGACGGCGACUAUCUGCCCGACGGCGAGGAUGCCGAGCGGGUCAUCGCGGAGCGGAUGCGGGUUCUCCAGGCACAGCAGUUAAGCGGCGCGACGGGCGCCGAGGGCUCUUUGUGCGGCACAGCCGCCUUUGUACGUCCAUCAGCCCGCUUCAGCCGCGGCCCGGUACCCGCCUGGCUGAGAGAGUACAGCGACCUCCUGCUCUUCGACCGCCAUCACCUCGACCGCGACGUAGCCGCAGCGCUACAGUGCAGCGGCGUAGGCACAACUUGGAGGCGCUGCUGCGCAAGUAACGACUCCGAGGGACUUGUGCAGCUGCCCGUCGACGCGGUGGUGUUGCGGCUGCGCAGCGACAUCGCCCGAGUGCGCCGUCUGCGCGAUGAGCUGCGCCGCGACGGCGGCAUUCGCGUGCUCAUCUCGCUUGGCUCGCGCCCGGCACGGUGUGAGGUGUACCGUCCUGCAGAUCCGGACUGGGGCGCUGCCCCCGCGCCUCCCACGGCAGGCGAGAUCCCUGAGGCGGUCUCGAGAGAGGUGCAAGAGCUCGCCGCAGGUGGGGUGGAGGUGGCUCUGGGUGACACGGACAGAGGUGAGCGUGGUGCUCGACGGGCUGUGCCCCCGUCACCUCCAGCACCACCGCCGUCGACCCCGCCUCUAUCGCGCGCUGUGGAGGCGAAGGACCUGCAGCGCUCACUGCUGGCGCAGACAAUACCAGUCUGGCGCCGCCACGGCGCGGCUGUGAAGCUGCUGACGGAGCUGCUUGACCAUCUCGAGAGCCGACUUCGCGCCUUCGAGGCGCAGCUCAGCGACCCAGCGCAAGGUGUGUUGUUGGACCUUGUCGGCGCUCCUGACUCGGCAGGGGUGGAUGGCACAGUGCAGAGCACAUACCCACCGGCGCUAGAGCGGGCGAUCCGCACGACCAUCACGAACACGAUGCUGAGCGACGUCUUUGCGACGUCCUGGAGCGCGUUGCCGAAUCGCGGGCCCCGGCUCAGUGAGGCUCUGCGGCGGCGGCAGACACCGCUCAUCCACGCGGACUACGUCACCAUGACAGACAUGCGGCCCGUUUACGACUUCACCGCGCUGCAGUCGGUGCAGCGCGUCAGCAGGGCCGCGUCCUCGACGCCAGGGGCAAGCCUCGUCUACGCCGCACACCACCAGCAACAGUGGCGCAGCGGUGGCGGUGGCGGUGGCGGUGUUGCUGCUGCCGUCGGAGGGGACACGCGCAAGUCGUACUCGGUGCACGUCGACUACGUUCGUUUCCAGCCUUCCCUGGAGAGCAUCCGUGGCGCAAGCGCCCUUGGUGCCCAUCUCGGGGUAGGAGACAGCGCGGCGGCAGCGGUGGGUACUGAUGGUGGCGGUGGCGGUGGUGGACGCCGUUCCAGCGUGCUAUCCAGCUCCGAGGAUCCGCUGUCGAGCCUUUUGUUGGGCUCCUCCUCGAACGCGUUCUUGCCUCGCGACACAAACGCCAGCGGCGACGGCACAGCCGCCGACGCUCACGACGCCCUGCUGCUUCAGCAGCAACGCCGCAACGGCAGCCUGCACAGCACCGCAGCGGCCCUGCUGUUCGCGCUGUCCGCGGCAACGGCGCAGCACAACCUCGUGGCCUUCAGCCCGGAAGAGUACCUCACCUCACUGCUGCUGCAGUACUACGAGCAGUAUCGCCUCCUGCAGCUGAACCUGCUCCCUUCCCUCAAGAACCGCUUCUUCUACCAGGAGCAGGUGCUCCAGCUGCAGCGGCAGUCACAGCGUACUAGCGACAUGGACCAGCUUCAGCUGCGACUGGAGUCCCUGGCGAAGACGUCGGCGGACGUGGAGCGCGGCUGCCUCCAUGUGAUGAUCGUCCUGUGGAACUCCGUCCUCAUACUUCGGCGACAGAAGCAGGAGCAAGGGCAGCAUGCGACCGAAAAGCUGGGCGGGGCGACGACAGACGCGCCCAUCAUUGUCGAGAACCAGCACCGGAGCAGCCGCGGCCGUGGGGAGCAGCCCACUGUGACCGCGAUGGCGCAGGAGAUGCGCUCGCAUCCGCCCGUCUUUGGCGCCGAGGUGUCGUCAGCGGCGUCGGAAGAUGAGAUCGCCGUGCAGGUCAACGAUGAGCUCAUCGCCAAUGCACCCGUGGUGCAUCGCGUGGACAACAGUGUCACCUACGGUGGCCGGGCUGACCGCGAUGACGCCAGCCCCGGUUCUCAGCCGCAGCAGCAGGGCAGCUCGCGCGUCUCUAGUCCGCGUUCCUUCGUGCUUUUUCCCGGCUCGCCACCUGCCCAGCCCUCCGCCUCGGCGAGCGCGUCGCCCCUCCUCGCACCGGCAACAAGCGUCUCCUCGGGAGAAGUCGGUGUUGGCGACAGCAGCAAUGAAGGUGAUGGUAGAGGGGCUGUGUCGCCCCCCUGGCCGCGGCCGCGGCCGCAGCGUUUCCGCUUCUUCCUUCGUCGGUACGGCACGGCCGAGGAAACACCGUACGUCGCCGGGGAUGAUCUCCUCCACUACGCUGCCGAGGUGGAGGGUGCGGAUGUGCUGCAGACCGGCAGACAGCCCGGCGAGAGGGGUGGCGGCGCGGCGGCGGUGCCUCCAGUGGCACAGGAUGAGCUCAUGUACUUCCAACUGGUCGUCUUCACCCGCUCGCACGCGGCGAUGGUGCCACAGUACGUUGGUUGCACCACACCGCGCCCCAUGACGGCCGCCAAAGUCGUCUUCUUCAACGAAACCUUCGAGGUGCGUGCGCUGCAUGAGCCGGCGGAGCUGCUGCUGCACCUAAUCCCCGUCACCGCCGGCCCCUCGAAGCACACGGUCGUGUCGACAGUGCGGCUGCAACCGACGCUGGCCCGCACGUACAGCCUGCUGCCGCUGCAGCCGCCGACAGCCUUCGUCUUCCAUGGGCGACUCUUCGCGCAUCAUCAGCGAGCGGCUGCCGGCACCAACGACGCCGCGCCAUCGACAACGACGGCCACCUCGGUGCACGGGGUGCUGGCUGCCUCGACGACGUGGACAGGCAGCCAGGGCAUGGCGGUCGCGCAAAUUGAGCGCCUUUUCCUUGGCGGCGGCAGCAGCGGGCCUGCGGCAGAUCCGCUCGACCCGCAGUACCUCCCGCUACUGUGCACACUGCGCGCCUAUUAUGAAGAGCAGGGCAUGGGCCGCGCUAGCGCAGCCAGCGGUGGCGGUGCCGGUAGGGCCCCGUCGUCGUCGCAUCGCCGGCACUCUGCCGACGGGUCGGCGAGGCUGCAGCGGCAAGUCUCGACGCCGAAUCCCAGAAACGCGCUUGCAGGCAUGCCAGCUGGGCGCGCUGGCAAGGCGCACCUGACCGCGCUCGGUGGGAGUCGCAGAAGCUUCAAACACAUCGCGUUCUCGGGGCAGCUGCUGCAGCGAGUCGGCAGCGCUGUCGGAGCGGCGGCGACGGCGCUGACCGCUCCCGACGGAAUGCGCAGCACGAUGCAAGUGCUCACGGCGGCAGCAGAGGCCGCCGGCGGUGGUUGUGGCGGCCGCGACUGCUACGCCGCGGAUGAUUCUCUGCAGCGCUUGCCGAGUGCUCGGCUCGAGCACCUACGCCGGCGAUGGCUGGCUCACACCAACAAAAUCAAAGCCGUCGACGAGGUCGAGGCGCGUCUCUUCGCGUGUGCGAUGCCGCUGGACGACGCGGAUGUGUAUCAGCUGCAGAAGGCGCUGAAGCGGUCAGUCAGAACAGAAGAGGCGGAGCGGGUGAAGAGCUACGGCGCGGCGGCAGGGGCGCUCUUCAAUGUCCAGCACUACUACUCGGCACCCUCGGCCAUCUCCGGGCUCCCACUGAGCCCGCUACCGCGGGAGACGAAGUUGAAGCUGUGGCAGGAGCGACAGCGGCGGCUGCUGCUCACGCUCAAGGCACGGCAUCACCUGACGGACGCCGAGAAGCUGGAGGCGGUGGUGCGGGUGCCGAAGCUGGUGCUGAAGCUCGUCUUCGACUUUGCGCCGCGCAGUCAGCUGAACCCGCAUCGAAAGGUGCGGCCCAAGACGGAGGACAUCGACCGCGCUCUGCUGGCGCGUCGGCGUGACAGCCACAUCGUCAUCCACAUCAUGAAGGCGCACAACCUGCCUCUGCGCGCCGACGGCACGCCGCUGGAGCCGUUCGUGCAGGCCAGCUUCGUGUCCGAGGUGGCCUACACGCGCAGCGAGGUAGGCAGCAACCCUUCGUGGUUCCAGUCGCUUGAGUUGCCCUUUCAACCGCUGAACUUCGAGGAGGACACGCUCGGCAUGAUCGACGACGACGUUAUCAUUUCGCUCUACGACAAGGUCGAGGUAAAGAUGGCGCCGUCCGCCGCGGCGACGGCGGCCGUGGCGCACGAGACGCACUACCGCACAGAGCGGCGCUUCAUCGGCACCUUGCGCAUCCCAUUCUACUCUCUGCAUCAAGCAAGUCAGGCACGCAUGGAGGGCGUCUACCCGUUGCGCAUGCCGCGCUGGCUUCUCGGCUACCACACGCUGCUGCCACGUCGUUACUCGACGGAGGACGAGGCAGCAAGGCAGCACUUCUCCCCCGAGUGUGGAACCACGAGCGGCGGCACGGCCACGCCGGCGCCGAACCCGUUCGGCAGUUUCGAGCGCCUCCCUGCACGCCGCGCCGAGGGGGCUUCGGGCGCAGCAGCUGCAGCCCCACAGCAACUGGAGACAUCCGCCUCAGCCGUGCUGGCGCUGACAGUAGACAAUACGAGCAGCGACCGACAGAGCACCGAGCCCACGCUGCAGCUGUACAUGUCCCUCUGGCCACCUUUGCAGCGCGAGCCGCCACCGAGGCUCAGCCGCGCGGAGCUGACCCGCCAAGUAAGUGAGUUGAAUGUGUCGCCGCAGCUACGUUACCUGCACCAAGUGGCGCUGAAGUGGCAGCAGGCGGCCCUGAAGAAGGUCAAGGCGAUCGGCGCGAUGAACGCGCAGGCCUCGACGCGGCAGAUCGAGCCCUUCGUGAAGUGCUCGACCGGCGACUUGAUGCUGGUGUGCCGCUACAUUCUGCCCCGCGGUGGGCCCCCGCCGCCGUGCGUGCGCACCGUGCACGAGGCUAUCCGCUACGUCUCGCUACUCCCGCUCGUCGCGGAUAUGCUGUCGUGGGGUGAGAAGGACGUGUGGAACACGAAUGCGGAGCUGCUGGCGAUGCGCUCGGGCGACUGCGGGGAGCUCGCGCUGCUGCUCGCGCAUUUCUUGCGCUGCUUGGCGCCGGACCGGCCGACCUACGCCGUCCUCGGCAGCGGCACUACCACCUGCCAGCAGACCAUCAUGGUGCUCCACGCCUUCGACGACGCCGAGUGGAUGCUGAUCGACCCCCACUCCGGCUGGACCGUGUCGGCUGGCAAGCCCUAUGGCACGGUGCUGCGCGACGUAUAUAUGGUCAUCUCGCAUGACCAGCUGUGGGCGAACGUGCAGCUGUCGGGCUUUCCACACCGCAUGACGUGGGACCUUGCGAACCCGGCGCACUGGCUACCGUGCUUCGACAGCGCCAAGGACGCGCGCAUCGCCGUAUGCACGCCGCACCUGUUUCCGAUUCAGCGCGAUGUGCUGACGUUCCCGGCGGCCGAUCCGGUCAAGUCUCGCGAGAUUGAGCUGGAGCUGCGCGCCUGCCUAAAGAAAGCGCUACUGACGUGGCGCAACGGAUGCCCGCCGGCGUACCACCGCGGUGUAGAGGCAAUCCUGCGAGAGUUGCUGGAGUUGGCCGAGGCAGAGCGGUGCACGUGCGCGUCGGCGCGGCGCAGCGACAUCACGCUGAGCGCCGCGGCGCGGCUGAGCGAGUACUUUGGUGAGAACAUCACCGGCGAGCCGGAGAGUGACAUGAGUGCGGCGCAGCGCCGGCAGCAGCACAAGCGUCGCCAGCACCGCCACCGCCAUCGCAGUGGCGACAACGGCAGCAUAGGGCGUGAGGAGGAUGCCGCUGCUGUUCAACCAGGAACCACCACCCCUGUAUCCUCGAGCGUGAGCCCGCUUCGACUGCUCGGCUCGCCCGUAAUGGGCUCCUACAACCCGUCUGACCCACAGUUCCAGGAGCUGCUGCAGCAGGUGUUUGAGUGCGCAGUGCACGAGGUGGGCACGAGCGAGGCGAGCUUCGCCGUCGGUACGUACGUGAAGAGCUACACAGGUGACGUAUACGCCAUGUCAGUCUUUCUUGUCGCCAUCUGUCGCGGGUGACGACCUCAGUGACGAUGCUGCACCGCUCAGAGAGGGGGGGCGGUAUUGAGAAGAGGCGGACGGCGCGUACUGCAAGUUGGCAUCGUCGUGGCAGACGAACGGUUUCGUGGCGGUGCUCUCCUCCCCAAUGCAACCACCCACACACCCCUUUCCACCGCCGUCGGCACUCCGCACGCAGUGCGAACGCUCCGAAUGUCGCAGGACACGCCCAUCCGCCGCUGCACUGCGGUGCGUGGGCGCGUACACGAAGAGAGUGCCGAAGAAAAGGAAUACAACGCCUCUUGCACACUCAUAAGACGCACCGCCGUGUGUGUGUGUGUGGGUGUGUGUGUGUGUGUAUCGGCGAAGGGGGCAGGGCACAGCGUCUGCGCUGCGGUGCGGUGCGUGGGCACAUGCCGCACAUGUGGUAUCGCCGCGGCACAGGUGUGGUGUGGAGCAGCACACAACAGC